rnacentral:rRNA from 1 species
GCAGGCUUAACACAUGCAAGUCGAGGGGUAUAGUAGCAAUACUAGAGACCGGCGCACGGGUGCGGAAAGCGGAUGCAAUCUACCUUUUACAGCGGGAUAGCCCAGAGAAAUUUGGAUUAAUACCACAUAGCAAAGUGAGUUGGCAUCCCCCCCCUAUAAAAGAUACGACGGUAAAAGAUGAGCAUGCGUCCCAUUAGCUAGUUGGGAAGGUAACGGCUU